UCAACUCUCGGAGCUGAAGUUCAAAGGAACAACAAAGAUAAGAAUACUCUUAUUGGAGAGAAAGAAGAUUUAAAGAAACAAAUUUCUGAGUUGAAAUCAAAACUCAAAGAGUGUUGUGGAUCAGCUGAUGAAAAACCAUGGAAGAGUGAUAAUAGUUCUGUUCCUAAUGAUUGGGUUCCUUUCGAGGAUCUUGAUGUUCUAAAUAUUCCCAGGAAUACUUCUUUGAAAAUCAGCAAAGCACCAGGUGCACUGAAAUUCGUUGAAGAUAAUACAACGAAUGUUCGAGCGAGCCGUUUCCAUGGAGGAAUAUAUCUAGCGGCUGUGAACGUUGAAGAGUUGAUCCCCGACAAAGAUGAAGCACGAUUCGAUCCAAAUAUCUGGGGUUCGUAUAAAGAUGCGGGAACAUCUUAUGCAGCCCGUAUGCUAUCUGAGACGAAGAUGUAGAUUGACGCAUAAAAGACGCGUUAAUCUGUCUUCUUAUCAGUGGGUCGAAGCUCCCAUUUAAAGGAAUUCAGAGCUUCAUUGGGGGUGUAAGAUAUUGAAAAAUGAAUUAAGGUGCCGGGUUCAUGCCGCUAGUUGACGGAUUCCUCGUGUAAUAAUUAAUGCUCGAGUUUGCAUCACCAAACUAAUUAAACAGAAACAUUUUUUAUUUUAUUUUUGUUAUGCUGUUUGCUAAUGUCGGAUCGUGUGCACCAAACUAUUGUUGUGCCCGGAAAGUUGUUAAGAAAUUUCCAAUGGAUGUCUUCUUCAACCUAAAA